GCAAAGGGAGCAGCCGGCUCCAGGCUCCAACGCGCCUUCUAGCUGCCUAACUGCCUCUUCGCCUCUCCCGUCCUUUCUUGGCUCGAAAUGGAUCCCAACUGCUCCUGCGCCACUGGGGGCUCCUGCUCCGGUGCCAGCUCCUGCAAGUGCAAAGAGUGCAAAUGCACCUCCUACAAGAAGACCUGCUGCUCCUGCUGCCCCAUGGGCUGUGCCAAGUGUGCCUAGGGCUGCGUCUGCAAAGAGGCGUCGGAGAAGUGCAGCUGCUGUGCCUGAUGUCGGGACAGCCCUGCUCCCAGAUGUAAACAGAGCAACCUGUACAAAUCUGGAUUUUUUUUUUCAUACAACCCUGAGCAUUUGCUACAUUCCUUUUUCUAUUAAAUAUGUAAACAGCAAUAAAACAGUUUUGACUUGA
rnacentral:sRNA from 1 species